AAAGUACAUAAGGUUGCCUGUACACCGCAGCAUAGCAACCAGCCUGUACAAAGACAUACUUAACAUUCCAUUCUCUGUCCAGCUUUCAAGUGGGUCAGGGUUUAGCAUGAAGCAAGGUCAUGCCUGUUGAGUGGACAAACGCCAUAGCAACUCCACAAACCUAACUGGGGAGUGAAGCUGUUGUGCAGGACCCACAGGUAUUGGCUCUGUACAACCAUUUGAGCAGCUAAUGAAAAAAAAAUCUCUUACUUAUAGAUAUUUUAUGCCCAAGAUUGUACCUGAAAAGCCAUUG